AGCGAACGCUGGCGGCAGGCCUAACACAUGCAAGUCGAACGGACCCUUCGGGGUUAGUGGCGGACGGGUGAGUAACACGUGGGAACGUGCCUUUAGGUUCGGAAUAGCUCCUGGAAACGGGUGGUAAUGCCGAAUGUGCCCUUAGGGGGAAAGAUUUAUCGCCUUUAGAGCGGCCCGCGUCUGAUUAGCUAGUUGGUGGGGUAAUGGCCCACCAAGGCUACGAUCAGUAGCUGGUCUGAGAGGAUGACCAGCCACAUUGGGACUGAGACACGGCCCAAACUCCUACGGGAGGCAGCAGUGGGGAAUCUUGCGCAAUGGGCGAAAGCCUGACGCAGCCAUGCCGCGUGUAUGAUGAAGGUCUUAGGAUUGUAAAAUACUUUCACCGGUGAAGAUAAUGACUGUAGCCGGAGAAGAAGCCCCGGCUAACUUCGUGCCAGCCGCCGCGGUAACAC
rnacentral:rRNA from 1 species